rnacentral:rRNA from 1 species
UUAGAUAUGACGAGGAACUCCUAUUGCGAAGGCAGCUUGCUGGGUCGUUACUGACGCUGAUGCUCGAAGGUGCGGGGAUCGAACAGGAUUAGAUACCCUGGUAGUCCGCACAGUAAACUAUGGAUACUCUCUGCCGGCGAUACAUUGUCGGUGGCCAAGCGAAAGCGUUAAGUAUCCCACCUGGGGAGUACGUUCGCAAGAAUGAAACUCAAAGGAAUUGACGGGGGCCCGCACAAGCGGAGGAACAUGUGGUUUAAUUCGAUGAUACGCGAGGAACCUUACCCGGGUUUGAAUUGCUGAUGGCGAUAAUUGGAGACAGUUAUUUCCCUUCGGGGCGUCAGUGAAGGUGCUGCAUGGUUGUCGUCAGCUCGUGCCGUGAGGUGUCGGCUUAAGUGCCAUAACGAGCGCAACCCUUGCCGUUAGUUGCCAUCGGGUCAUGCCGGGCACUCUAUUGGGACUGCCAUCGUAAGAUGUGAGGAAGGUGGGGAUGACGUCAAAUCAGCACGGCCCUUAUGUCCGGGGCGACACACGUGUUACAAUGGGGGGUACAGUGGGAAGCUACCUGGCGACAGGUUGCGGAUCCUCAAAUCCUUUCUCAGUUCGGAUCGGAGUCUGUAACUCGACUCCGUGAAGUUGGAUUCGCUAGUAAUCGCGCAUCAGCCAUGGCGCGGUGAAUACGUUCCCGGGCCUUGUACACACCGCCCGUCAAGCCAUGAAAGCUGGGGGCGCCUGAAGUCCGUAACCGCGAGGAUCGGCCUAGGGUGAACCUGGUGAUUGGGGCUAAGUCGUAACAAGGUAGCCGUA